GAGUCUGAAUAGGGCGAAUGAGUAUUUGGUCGUAGACCCGAAACCAGGUGAUCUACCCUUGGUCAGGUUGAAGUUCAGGUAACACUGAAUGGAGGACCGAACCGACUUACGUUGAAAAGUGAGCGGAUGAACUGAGGGUAGCGGAGAAAUUCCAAUCGAACUUGGAGAUAGCUGGUUCUCUCCGAAAUAGCUUUAGGGCUAGCCUCAAGUGAUGAUUAUUGGAGGUAGAGCACUGUUUGGACGAGGGGCCCCUCUCGGGUUACCGAAUUCAGACAAACUCCGAAUGCCAAAUAAUUUAACUUGGGAGUCAGAAUGUGGGUGAUAAGGUCCAUAUUCGAAAGGGAAACAGCCCAGACCACCAGCUAAGGUCCCAAAAUAUAUGUUAAGUGGAAAAGGAUGUGGCGUUGCCCAGACAACUAGGAUGUUGGCUUAGAAGCAGCCAUCAUUUAAAGAGUGCGUAAUAGCUCACUAGUCGAGUGACACUGCGCCGAAAAUGUACCGGGGCUAAACAUAU
rnacentral:rRNA from 1 species